UACGGGGGGGGCAAGCGUUGUUCGGAAUUACUGGGCGUAAAGGGCUCGUAGGCGGCCAACUAAGUCAGACGUGAAAUCCCUCGGCUUAACCGGGGAACUGCGUCUGAUACUGGAUGGCUUGAGUUUGGGAGAGGGAUGCGGAAUUCCAGGUUUAGCGGUGAAAUGCGUAGAUAUCUGGAGGAACACCGGUGGCGAAGGCGGCAUCCUGGACCAACACUGACGCUGAGUGAGCGAAAGCCAGGGGAGCGAACAGG
rnacentral:rRNA from 1 species